GGCGGCAUAGCCAAGUGGUAAGGCGAUGGUCUGCAAAAUCAUUAUUCAACGGUUCGACUCCGUUUGCCGCCU
rnacentral:tRNA from 1 species